CAGCCGCCACGGUAAUACGUAGGGUGCAAGCGUUAAUCGGAAUUACUGGGCGUAAAGCGUGCGCAGGCGGUCCGCUAAGACAGAUGUGGAAUCCCCGGGCUUAACCUGGGAACUGCAUUUGUGACUGGCGGGCUAGAGUAUGGCAGAGGGGGGUAGAAUUCCACGUGUAGCAGUGAAAUGCGUAGAGAUGUGGAGGAAUACCGAUGGCGAAGGCAGCCCCCUGGGCCAAUACUGACGCUCAUGCACGAAAGCGUGGGGAGCAAACAGGAUUAGAUACCCCUGUAGUCCCUGUCUCUUAUAC
rnacentral:rRNA from 1 species